GAGACGCGGGAGGGAUGGAGUAAUGGACGGCGAGAAGCCACGGGGACGGGCGAAAAUGCUCCGUGUCCUGGGCGACUCCGCUCUUCUGAGGGAUUACAAAGGGUUUAACUGGCGGAUGAAGCCGAGCAAAGUGAAGGAAUUGUCUGAUGUCGUAGCUCGAGGCAGUGUUUGUCUGAGACGGAGGAGACGGGGAAAGAGGAAGCGCAAGGUGUUAGCAGACAGCUGUGUGUGUGUGUGUGUGUGUGUGUGUGUGUGUGUGUGUGUGUGUGUGUGUGUGUGUGUGUGUGUGUGCGUGUGUGCGCGUGUUUAUAGCACUGCAGACGUGAACAUUAGUGUUUUCUUUAUGAUUAAAUGUUGCGUGAAGGGAUUGUAAACCUCUGCGCAUCUAUCAGUAAACACAUUUGUGUCUAACUGUGCGCAUAUGUAUGCGACGAAUGAGAGAGUCACUCUGCAGCGCCAUGACAACAGUGGGACUGUCUGAUCCUCGCUCUCUAAUUGUCUGUGACCUCGUAACUGGAGACGCACUCUCAAGGCAGGAGGAGGGCCUUUCACACGGCAAUCACUUUUGGAUUUGUCCUCUCUGCAACUCCUGAAUACCACUGGCAGAAAGGUGUGCGCUGGAGCCCGUACGCAGGGGCGAGCGCUUCCUUCAGUCCAAAGACGGCUGAUCAGCGCGAGGCGAGGAGAAUGCACAAAAAAUAAGGGGACACCGUUUCAAAAUGUAUAAACGUUUGGCUGGAAUUUGGAUGUUAAAACAUGACCCAGGUAGAAUAAUUUAUAAAAUUAUGUGCAAAAAAGAAUUCAAAACAUAAUUAAUAAAUGGCCCAUUUUUUGGUAAAAAAAAAUUGUA
rnacentral:lncRNA from 1 species